UAUAUUUCUCUUUAUUUCAUGACUUUUUUUUUUUUUUGUCUUCACCUUAAUGUUUUUCUUUAGGUUAUACAAUCAUAUCCAAGUGUCUAGUAACUUAAUGUCCGGUUGUGACUACUCGCUCUUUAAGGAUGGUGUUGAACCUAUGUGGGAAGAUGAAAAGAAUAAGCGUGGAGGAAGAUGGUUAAUUACCUUAAACAAACAGCAAAGAAGAAAUGAUUUAGAUAGAUUUUGGCUUGAGACGGUAUGCGUUCUUGCUUGUGGGAUUUGUUAUUAGAAUAUAAAUGUUUGUUAAACAGUUA